UACGUAGGGUGCGAGCGUUAAUCGGAAUUACUGGGCGUAAAGCGUGCGCAGGCGGUUUUGUAAGCCAGAUGUGAAAUCCCCGGGCUCAACCUGGGAAUGGCAUUUGGGACUGCAAGGCUCGAGUGCGGCAGAGGAGACUGGAAUUCCUGGUGUAGCAGUGAAAUGCGUAGAUAUCAGGAGGAAUACCGAUGGCGAAGGCAGGUCUCUGGGCUGACACUGACGCUCAUGCACGAAAGCGUGGGGAGCAAACGGG
rnacentral:rRNA from 1 species